CAUGAUCAGCUAGAAACUUGGGCUGAAAUUGGGGAGUGCAUUUGGAUUUUUUGUUUUCAAUUAUGAUGCCUUUUACUGGAGUUUGACCUGUCCCAUUCUGCCGCUGUCAUUGCUGCUGCCCUCAGAUCAAAGCUACCAUGGGGCCAGAUGUGGUGGCUCUUGAGCCUAGCAAUGUGAGGCAGCUGGGGAACAUAGUGAGGACCCAUCUAAAACUGCUGCAGUGGAUAGUUCAUCCCAUCCAGACCCCUUCCACUCCAACUCUCCUCCUGCUGCAUGUGUUUGUUCCCUCUCCGGAGGUCUCAGAUAUGUGAUAAUUUUGGUAAUUGCCAAUGCUUUCCAGACCACAGGCCCCCAGACUGUGAAUUCCGUCUUAGUUCACCAGGGGGCAGUAUUGACGAUGGAAAUGUUCAGAAAUCAGAUAAAAUUUUUGGGUAUAAUAUACAACUAAACAACUGGAUUAUUUUGAGUUUCUGCAUUUUUCUGCCAUUUUUCAUAAUUUUCAUCAUUGUGGUCAUUAAGAUAAUGAAAAUGAGAAACUUAUGCAAUGCAGAGAACACAAAGUAUGAUGGGAAUGCAUCCACUGCACCAGAAAGCUACCACGUGGAAUAUGAAGACUGCCAAGGUCGCCAGCAAAUGGCCUAAAGAAGAAAAUGAGCUUUAUAACCCUAAAGUCCCGCCCCAAAUACAGUUUAUAAAAUAAAGCUGUGAGUCCCCGGAGCAAACUGAUGGGUCAGCCAGGACCGCGGGCUGGGUGGGGGGCGGGAGGAACCAGGCUCAGGACCAGGAACCGCAGCCCACGCUCCGCAGGA
rnacentral:lncRNA from 1 species